UACGUAGGGUGCAAGCGUUAAUCGGAAUUACUGGGCGUAAAGCGUGCGCAGGCGUUUUGUAAGUCUGUCGUGAAAUCCCCGGGCUCAACCUGGGAAUUGCGAUGGAGACUGCAAGGCUAGAAUCUGGCAGAGGGGGGGUAGAAUUCCACGUGUAGCAGUGAAAUGCGUAGAGAUGUGGAGGAACACCGAUGGCGAAGGCAGCCCCCUGGGUCAAGAUUGACG
rnacentral:rRNA from 1 species